GUGCCAGGACCCCACCCUCCCCCACUCCCUUUUAAUUCAAUGGCUACGUAGGGGCUUCUUUGAUGGAGGCUUUGAAGUCGGUGGCUUUGAGAUUACUCUUCCUCUGUGACCUUGACCACCAGCCAUGAGGUUAUUUCUGCAGCAUUCCACGACUUUUCUGAUCACUCUGCAAAGUUGAAAUAUGAUUGCAGCCUUUGCACCGGGAAGGAAAGAAACCAUUUAAAUGAAAAAUUAGCUGCCUUAGCAGGUCAAGCACAUAGUUACAUUAAUGUCGUGUAGAACAAUAAAUCAACUUCGAUCUCCAAUUGAAAAAAUGCUAAUUUAGCUCAGCGAUUCACUGAUUGUACUU
rnacentral:lncRNA from 1 species